AUUGAACGCUGGCGGCAUGCUUUACACAUGCAAGUCGAACGGUAACAGGUUAAGCUGACGAGUGGCGAACGGGUAAGUAAUGCAUCGGAACGUGCCCGGUCGUGGGGGAUAACGCCGCGAAAGCUGCGCUAAUACCGCAUACGAUCUGAGGAUGAAAGCGGGGGACCGUAAGGCCUCGCGCGAUCGGAGCGGCCGAUGUCAGAUUAGGUAGUUGGUGGGGUAAAGGCUCACCAAGCCAACGAUCUGUAGCUGGUCUGAGAGGACGACCAGCCACACUGGGACUGAGACACGGCCCAGACUCCGACGGGAGGCAGCAGUGGGGAAUUUUGGACAAUGGGCGAAAGCCUGAUCCAGCAAUGCCGUGUGCAGGAAGAAGGCCUUCGGGUUGUAAACUGCUUUUGUACGGAGCGAAAAGGUCUCCUCUAAUACAGGGGGCUCAUGACGGUACCGUAAGAAUAAGCACCGGCUAACUACGUGCCAGCCGCCGCCGUAA
rnacentral:rRNA from 1 species